rnacentral:rRNA from 1 species
GACGAACGCUGGCGGCGUGCCUAACACAUGCAAGUCAACUUGACUGAAGGAGCAAUCUGACAGUAGAGUGGCGCAAGGGUGCGUAACGCGUAAGUAACUUGCCCAAGGUAAGGAAUAACGUCGAGAAAUCGGCGCUAAUACCUCAUAAUGCAGCGGAUCCGCAUGGAUAUGUUGUUAAAGGUUUACCGCCUUGGGAUAGGCUUGCGUCUGAUUAGCUAGUUGGUGUGGUAACGGCACACCAAGGCUACGAUCAGUGACUGGUCUGAGAGGAUGAUCAGUCACACUGGAACUGAGACACGGUCCAGACUCCUACGGGAGGCAGCAGUGAGGAAUAUUGGGCAAUGCUCGAAAGAGUGACCCAGCAACGCCGCGUGGAGGAUGAAGGUAUUCUAUAUCGUAAACUCCUGUGAGAGCAGACGAAAGACAGAUUAUUAAUCUGGAUGACUGUAUGCUCAGA